CGGGGUAUUACCCGUGAUUGAUCAAACUAGUUAUAUAGAGAACUCUACUCUGGAUGAUUGAAAAAUAAUUAAUUUUCUUGAUUUGUUUUCGGAGGUUCAGAGUAUGGUGAAGUAUUCGGGUAUUUUGGCUAUUGUUAAAAAUAUAUUUGAAGAUGUAUUUGCAUGUCGUGGCUGCAAAUACAGUUAGUAUUACGCUGUUGGCAGCGUUUUUUCGAAAUCAUGUCGUUUUUCAACUAAACUGGUGGGACAGUGGUAAAUCGCGAUUUCGCGGAAGCCGCGAAAUCCAGCAUCGGCCGCUAAAUUGUCAAAAAACCGCGAAAUGCCGCGAAAACCAACAACACGGAUAAAUCUAAAGAUCAAUAGGCACCUCGAUGGCAACGGAACACCUUUUCCUACGCAACCAAUAAGAUGCCCAUAAUUCAAAAAUUGGCUAAUAUGCCAUUUUUACCAAAAUCGAGAAAACAGUUUCUCGUGAUGGUACACACCCUAAACAAGGUCCCUACGGAAGCCGAUUGUCAAAAAAUGCAUUUGGGAAGGCAGCAAACGUGAAACAAUUUUGGCUAAUAUCCAAUAUCCAAUAUGAACCUGUGGCAUGUUCACGAACCAGUGUAUUAUUACUGAACUGUGUUUCUUCUAACUUUCGAACGUGUGUUGUAGCUUGGUGGUUACUGGCGACAGGUGAGCGAUCGUAAGGCCCUUGCAUCAAAUUUGACUUUUUCACGAAGAAUAUUUGAUUCUACAUAAAUUUAUUUGUUGUACUGCGAAACCCAACGAUCAAAACGUGUGACUGUUUCCUACUGUCAUAAAUCUUUACAUUUAAUAAAAUGAUAUUUAGCUCUUUGAUUAGGAGUAAUAUUAAUAAAAAGAAGAUUCAGAUUUCAUUUUGGAUUUGAUGAGAAAAAAUAGGAAGGUGGAUUGUGAGAUUACCAUGAAUAAUAUUUUCGUUAUAUUAAUAUAUUGCUGCACGUAACAAUUGUCUCGUCGUCCUUUUCAUCCUCACUUGUGCUUCCGUGUUGUUUUAUUAAAUUUAAAACCAUUUUCAUCUCCAACGAGUACGAUAUAAUUCACAUCGUAUGGAUAUUAGCCAAAUUGCACACCGUUUUGUCAACUGACCUUUCGUUUAUAAUUGAAAAAACGGCUACUGUGUUAAAAAUACGUGGCGGAUGGAAUUUUUCUAUAGAUUUCUCUGUUUCAACUCAACGGCAAGGUUCCAGCAUAUAUGAAGGGUGAUAUACUCAAUAAAAAAGUUGUCAUGAACAGUCAAAAUAUGUUGUACCAACAAAAAACUUUCAAAUGCGUUUUUCUCGAUUUGAUACCUAUGGCAUAUUAGCCAAUUUUUGAAUUAUGGGCAGCACUGCUCUCUUACAACGAGAUUUUUCCAGCCUGGAUUGAAUUGUUUUCGGAUGAUCCUAUUUGAGCAAAGAUUCUGGCGACUUGGGACCUGCAUGAUAGAAUUCCCGAAUGUGCAAAAUCGAAGUUGCAUGAUAUACCUACUUAGUUCAAGUUACAUGCAUUUUUGCAUUUUAAUAAUUUUGCCAAAUCGGUUCGGUAGAUACUGAGAAAAACUUAUCACCAGUUCGGUACUAAUUUAGAGAGAACAUCCUCGUUCGCAGCUGCAAACAGCGUAAUACUCACUAUAUUUGCAUUCACGAUAUGUAAAAUACAUCUUUAAAUAUACCUCAAU